CCUACGGGCGGCUGCAGUGGGGAAUCUUGCGCAAUGGACGAAAGUCUGACGCAGCGACGCCGCGUGAGUGAUGAAGGCCUUCGGGUUGUAAAGCUCUGUGGGGAGAGACGAAUAAGGUGCAGUUAAUAUCUGCAUCGAUGACGGUACCUCCUUAGCAAGCACCGGCUAACUCUGUGCCAGCAGCCGCGGUAAGACAGAGGGUGCAAACGUUGUUCGGAAUCACUGGUCGUAAAGCAUGUAUAUCCGGUGAGAAAGCCCCGGGCUCAACCCGGGAAGUGCAUUCGAUACUGUUUGACUUGAGUACUGGAGAGGUUGGUGGAAUUCUCGGUGUAGAGGUGAAAUUCGUAGAUAUCGGGAAGAACAUCUGUGGCGAAGGCGGCCAACUGGACAGAUACUGACGCUGAGACACGAAAGCGUGGGGAGCAAACAGGAUUAGAUACCCCAGUAGUC
rnacentral:rRNA from 1 species